rnacentral:rRNA from 1 species
ACUCCUACGGGAGGCAGCAGUGGGGAAUAUUGCACAAUGGGCGCAAGCCUGAUGCAGCAACGCCGCGUGAGGGACGACGGCCUUCGGGUUGUAAACCUCUUUUAGUAGGGAAGAAGCGAAAGUGACGGUACCUGCAGAAAAAGCACCGGCUAACUACGUGCCAGCAGCCGCGGUAAUACGUAGGGUGCAAGCGUUAUCCGGAAUUAUUGGGCGUAAAGAGCUCGUAGGCGGUUUGUCGCGUCUGCUGUGAAAACUGGAGGCUCAACCUCCAGCCUGCAGUGGGUACGGGCAGACUAGAGUGCGGUAGGGGAGAUUGGAAUUCCUGGUGUAGCGGUGGAAUGCGCAGAUAUCAGGAGGAACACCGAUGGCGAAGGCAGAUCUCUGGGCCGUAACUGACGCUGAGGAGCGAAAGCAUGGGGAGCGAACAGGAUUAGAUACCCUGGUAGUCCAUGCCGUAAACGUUGGGAACUAGAUGUAGGGACCAUUCCACGGUUUCUGUGUCGCAGCUAACGCAUUAAGUUCCCCGCCUGGGGAGUACGGCCGCAAGGCUAAAACUCAAAGGAAUUGACGGGGGCCCGCACAAGCGGCGGAGCAUGCGGAUUAAUUCGAUGCAACGCGAAGAACCUUACCAAGGCUUGACAUAUACCGGAAAAGUUCAAAAAUGUUCUCCCCGCAAGGUCGGUAUACAGGUGGUGCAUGGUUGUCGUCAGCUCGUGUCGUGAGAUGUUGGGUUAAGUCCCGCAACGAGCGCAACCCUCGUUCUAUUUGCCAGCACGUAAUGGUGGGAACUCAUAGGAGACUGCCGGGGUCAACUCGGA